UACAGAGGGUGCUAGCGUUGUUCGGAAUUACUGGGCGUAAAGCGCGUGUAGGCGGCCGAGCAAGUCGGAUGUGAAAGCCCUGGGCUUAACCCAGGAAGUGCAUUCGAAACUGCUUGGCUCGAGUACGGGAGAGGGAGGUGGAAUUCCCAGUGUAGAGGUGAAAUUCGUAGAUAUUGGGAGGAACACCGGUGGCGAAAGCGACCUCCUGGACCGAUACUGACGCUGAGACGCGAAAGCGUGGGGAGCAAACAGG
rnacentral:rRNA from 1 species